GACAGAGGAUGCAAGCGUUAUCCGGAAUGAUUGGGCGUAAAGCGUCUGUAGGUGGCUUUUUAAGUCUGCCGUCAAAUCCCAGGGCUUAACCCUGGACAGGCGGUGGAAACUACCAAGCUGGAGUACGGUAGGGGCAGAGGGAAUUUCCGGUGGAGCGGUGAAAUGCGUAGAGAUCCGGAAGAACACCAGUGGCGAAGGCGGCCUGCUGGGCAGUUGCUGACGCUGAGGCGCGACAGCGUGGGGAGCAAACAGG
rnacentral:rRNA from 1 species